GGCGGUGUUGGUUGAAAGCGGUAGAGAAGGAAGGCCAUGGGAGUGAGAUGAGACACUUCAUCUGGUCGUAGAUUUGAAGCAGACUUCUCUCGUCGGCGGUUUAUGCAAUGCGAGGGUAUUGGUCGAUCGCCGUUUCAUCUAGUUAGGUCGUCGGCCUCUGUCUUUAUGAUGAGCAAACCACGAUCCCUCUGCUGCGCCUGAUCCAUCUCCCACCCCCUCUGUUUCCUUCUUCAUUUGGCUGACCGUGUGGAUACUAUCGGGCGAGAACGAGAGAUGUGGGCGAUCACUUCACGGAACUGAGUGUUCACCUCCGCUUCAUCUGAUGGGGAGAUUGCUGUAGCCAAAGUAGAGUUCGACUUGACAAAGGAUCGUCAUCACCACCUCUUCAUUUUUAAAGAGUCGCUGGUAUAUAGACUCUGUCCGGCUGCCAGAACACAGGAAGAACAGAGGAAAUUAUCACCUAUUCAAAGUUAUUCCAGUCCAUUUGCAAAAUUUUUGGAGCUUCAAGGAGAAAGCACUUGAUUUUUGAAGUGUUACCGGUGCUCAGAUGUUGUCUUGUGACUGGCCUUGGAGAAUCACCACUAGUUCUCAAUCCCUCCAGCUAGAGAAUCAUCAUCGCUUCACUUUUCUAACUCAAAUUUGGGAUUCUCUGUGCUAAAGGUCGGUCGGUUGGGGUGGGUCCAGACCCGGAUCUGAACCCACUUGCAUGAGGGUCCCGACGUUGCCCUCUUCUCCCUUGUCCUCCUCUCGGUUCCCCCUUCGUUGCCCUCUCAGCCACAGGCGACCCGUCGUAGAAAAGAAGGAGACAGAAGAAGGAUCGAUGGUGCUUGAGAUUGAAGUUUGGGGAUGCAUUUUCCCCUCAUAACAGUGACUAGAAUGCAUUGGAGUGGCGGCAUUGAAGGAUUUUAGCCGUUUGAGGAUCACUUGAACACGUGAGGUGGCUGCCGGGAGGACUGCAACAACUAAGACUUUAUAAUUGAGGUACACCUGGCACGUCCAGUAGACAUUGAGCAACAAAACGUGAAGCUCGAGGCAUUUUGAAGUGUUUUGUAGACGUGCGACAAGUUUGACGACAUUGCAGGCGAAUCCCUGCCUGGGGUCAAAUGGUGAAUGUUUUAGCAGACCCGGGGCAGCAGGUUAUCAGAUAUCUUCCCUCACAUCGUACUAGGAGGUUUUGGGCUUUUUGUAGUGUCGGUAUGUCAUGUUUUGGUUUCUUUGAUGUCUUGUUUUUAUUAGGCAUCAAAGUUGUGGUUUGAAGCAUUUUUUUGUCAUAUGAGUUUAUGUGAUUUUUGUAUAAACGAAAUUUAUUAUAUCAUGGAAAGUUGCCUCAUUGUUUGAAAUUGCA